rnacentral:tRNA from 1 species
GCGGAUGUGGUGAAGUGGUUAACACACCUGGCUGUGAACCAGGCAUGCGUGAGUUCAAUUCUCAUCAUUCGCCCCA